UACGUAGGGGGCUAGCGUUUGUCCGGAAUCAUUUGGGCGUAAAGCGCGUGUAGGCGGUUCGGUAAGUCCGCUGUGAAAGUCGGGGGGCUCAACCCUCGGAUGCCGGUGGAUACUGUCGAGCUUUGAGUACGGAAGAGGCGAGUUGGAAUUCCUGGUGUAGCGGGUGAAAUGCGCAGAUAUCAGGAGGAACACCAAUUGCGAAGGCAGCUCGCUGGGACGUUACUGACGCUGAGACGCGAAAGCGUGGGGGAGCGAACAGG
rnacentral:rRNA from 1 species